GAUGAACGCUGGCGGCGUGCCUAAUACAUGCAAGUCGAGCGAACGGACGAGAAGCUUGCUUCUCUGAUGUUAGCGGCGGACGGGUGAGUAACACGUGGAUAACCUACCUAUAAGACUGGGAUAACUUCGGGAAACCGGAGCUAAUACCGGAUAAUAUUUUGAACCGCAUGGUUCAAAAGUGAAAGACGGUCUUGCUGUCACUUAUAGAUGGAUCCGCGCUGCAUUAGCUAGUGGUAAGGUAACGGCUUACCAAGGCAACGAUGCAUAGCCGACCUGAGAGGGUGAUCGGCCACACUGGAACUGAGACACGGUCCAGACUCCUACGGGAGGCAGCAGUAGGGAAUCUUCCGCAAUGGGCGAAAGCCUGACGGAGCAACGCCGCGUGAGUGAUGAAGGUCUUCGGAUCGUAAAACUCUGUUAUUAGGGAAGAACAUAUGUGUAAGUAACUGUGCACAUCUUGACGGUACCUAAUCAGAAAGCCACGGCUAACUACGUG
rnacentral:rRNA from 1 species